rnacentral:rRNA from 1 species
AUACGUAGGGAGCGAGCGUUGUCCGGAAUUACUGGGUGUAAAGGGAGCGUAGGCGGGAGUGCAAGUCAGAUGUGAAAUACAUGGGCUCGACCCAUGGGCUGCAUUUGAAACUGCAUUUCUUGAGUGAAGUAGAGGUAAGCGGAAUUCCUGGUGUAGCGGUGAAAUGCGUAGAUAUCAGGAGGAACACCGGUGGCGAAGGCGGCUUACUGGGCUUUUACUGACGCUGAGGCUCGAAAGCGUGGGGAGCAAACAGGAUUAGAUACCCUGGUAGUCCACGCUGUAAACGAUGAUUACUAGGUGUGGGGGGACUGACCCCUUCCGUGCCGCAGUUAACACAAUAAGUAAUCCACCUGGGGAGUACGGCCGCAAGGUUGAAACUCAAAUGAAUUGACGGGG